rnacentral:rRNA from 1 species
CGCAGCCUACGGGGGGCAGCAGUAGGGAAUCUUCCACAAUGGACGAAAGUCUGAUGGAGCAACGCCGCGUGAGUGAAGAAGGGUUUCGGCUCGUAAAACUCUGUUGGUAGUGAAGAAAGAUAGAGGGAGUAACUGGCCUUUAUUUGACGGUAAUUACUUAGAAAGUCACGGCUAACUACGUGCCAGCAGCCGCGGUAAUACGUAGGUGGCAAGCGUUGUCCGGAUUUAUUGGGCGGAAAGCGAGUGCCGGCGG